GUUGAUCGAUCCAAGGUCGUGCACAUAGGGUCUAAGACGGAAGAGAACUUCCUGCCCCUCUUGGAGCUUCUAUUUUAGAGGGAGACACGGCCAGACAGGUCUCGAACUCCUGGCCUCAAGUGAUCCGCACACCUUGGCCUCCCAAAAUGCUGGGAUUCCAGGCGUGAGCCACCGCGCCUGGCCUGGAGCCAGGGCCCCAUAUUAUCUACCGCUGUCCAUCUGCUCUCCAGCACAUCAGAGCAGCCCUUCCCCUGUGUGAGAUUCCUCUCCAGGGCAAGACUGAAGGGAGCAUCAAGGUUGCAGUGGAAGAAAUAAAUUGGAAGUGGAGCUGG
rnacentral:antisense_RNA from 1 species